AAAGGCCUACCAAGGCGACGAUCCGUAGCUGGUCUGAGAGGAUGAUCAGCCACACUGGAACUGAGACACGGUCCAGACUCCUACGGGAGGCAGCAGUGGGGAAUAUUGGACAAUGGGGGCAACCCUGAUCCAGCCAUGCCGCGUGUGUGAAGAAGGCCUUCGGGUUGUAAAGCACUUUAAGCGAGGAGGAAGGUCUUUAAGCUAAUAACUUAAAGAAUUGACGUUACUCGCAGAAUAAGCACCGGCUAACUCUGUGCCAGCAGCCGCGGUAAUACAGAGGGUGCAAGCGUUAAUCGGAAUUACUGGGCGUAAAGCGCGCGUAGGCGGUAUGUUAAGUCGGAUGUGAAAUCCCUGGGCUCAACCUAGGCAUUGCAUCCGAUACUGGCACACUAGAGUGUGGGAGAGGAAGGUAGAAUUCCAGGUGUAGCGGUGAAAUGCGUAGAGAUCUGGAGGAAUACCGAUGGCGAAGGCAGCCUUCUGGCCUAACACUGACGCUGAGGUGCGAAAGCAUGGGGAGCAAACAGGAUUAGAUACCCUGGUAGUCCAUGCCGUAAACGAUGUCAACUAGCCGUUGGGCUCCUUGAGGGCUUAGUGGCGCAGCUAACGCGAUAAGUUGACCGCCUGGGGAGUACGGUCGCAAGACUAAAACUCAAAUGAAUUGACGGGGGCCCGCACAAGCGGUGGAGCAUGUGGUUUAAUUCGAUGCAACGCGAAGAACCUUACCUGCCUUGACAUGUCUGGAAUCCUGCAGAGAUGCGGGAGUGCCUUCGGGAAUCAGAACACAGGUGCUGCAUGGCUGUCGUCAGCUCGUGUCGUGAGAUGUUGGGUUAAGUCCCGCAACGAGCGCAACCCUUUUCUUUACUUGCCAGCGGGUCAUGCCGGGAACUUUAAAGAUACUGCCGGUGACAAACCGGAGGAAGGCGGGGACGACGUCAAGUCAUCAUGGCCCUUACGGCCAGGGCUACACACGUGCUACAAUGGUCGGUACAAAGGGUUGCUAACCCGCGAGGGCAUGCUAAUCUCAAAAAGCCGAUCGUAGUCCAGAUUGGAGUCUGCAACUCGACUCCAUGAAGUCGGAAUCGCUAGUAAUCGCGGAUCAGAAUGCCGCGGUGAAUACGUUCCCGGGCCUUGUACACACCGCCCGUCACACCAUGGGAGUUUGUUGCACCAGAAGUAGUUAGCCUAACCGCAAGGAGGGCGAUUACCGCGGUGUGGCCAAUGACUGGGGUGAAGUCGUAACAAGGUAGCCGUAGGGGAACCUGCGGCUG
rnacentral:rRNA from 1 species